UUCUCUCACUCUUUGCUGAAAAUUCUCUUCAUUUCUCUCUCUACCUCUCUUUCUCAUUCUUUUUAAUUUUUCGCAAAACAAGAGAUAGUCCCAGUUUUCUUUACGAUUGGAGGCUCAAAUAAUAUCCGAUCGUCACGAAAUUUUAACCAAAGGUAGAAGACUCAUAAAGGAUCAUUCUUACCGAAGGAGAUCAAAUAUUAACGGUUAGAUCUUCCAGAAUUAAUUUCGGAAGUGACUGUCGGUUUCUACAGUAGCAGCAUUGAUUUUCUAUACGAUCGGAGGUUCAAACAUUGCCCGAUCGUCUUGAAAUUUUAAAGGAAGGAAGUUGGGGUUUUCUGAAGAUAGAAUACUAGCUUUGCGACGAAGCCAUAACUCAAUUUUGUACAUUUCUUAUUUGAAGAGAAAUGACUAUAUUCUGUAAAUGGACAUUUAAUAUCUGAUAAGUCGUAUUCUAAGCCUUGGUUACUGGUCAGUAUGUCGUGAAAUGCAUGUAUUAUCUGCAAAACAGUUGCUCAAGUGUUCAGGUUAAGGGAUCCAAGCCAGUAGGAGACGAUUCAGGCGACGCAAGUGAAAAGAGCACUAGAAGGAUGAAAUACUGACUAGGAUGCAUGCCAGAGAAAAGGCUCGAGA